rnacentral:lncRNA from 1 species
GUGGGGUGGCAGAAGAGGCUGGGGAAGCUGCCUGCUGGGAGUGCUAUUGGGGAGAGACAUUUUCGUUGGAGAGGUUGGCUGCAAAUUCUUUUUCCUCAGUUUUCCCAAAUGUCUCCUUCCCAUAGCGCCAGUCUAGAGGCAUCACCCCCACCACACCACUGACCCUACCACACUCGGGGUGGGUCUCUGAUCAGCUUGAUGGAGCAGCUGGCUUGAAUUUUUAGGAAAAUUCGAACCAAACCAAAUAGAGCACUUUUUUUCUUCAAAAACAGACGUUUAAGAUGUGGCCCUCUGGUGGCUUGCAGCUGCCAGUAGCAUCAGAAAGCACAAGAAUGUCAGACUUCUUUGAAAACUAAAUUCUGCAAGUAAGGGUCUUCCCAACAGCGGGAGGCGGAGGAUGGGAAGAGGGAAAGGUAAGGAACAUGGAAUGACUGUGCCCUGGCUGGAGGGAGCAAGUCCUGGCCAGGCAGCCACCCUGCACCACAAGGCUUCAGAGCUUGGGAGCUGUGAGUCCUUCCAUUGCUCUGAACCAGUUUGCUCUUGUAGGAAGCAGGCACGCCAGUUUCUAUUCCAUCAGGCCACUGGGAAGAGGAAGUUAAAACCUGUUGCCUGUCGCACAGGGGGCUCUCCAUAAAUAAACGUUCAUUGUGGCCACCCAGGUCCCUGCCUUGUGGAGACAGUCUCCAAGGCUGUAGGCACGUCCUCCACCACUGGGCUUCUGCCCUUCACAACAGGGCCUGCACAUGGGUGCAGGUCAAAUCAAUGACUCCCACCUCAGGGAUGCCUUUUUUUUUUUUUUUUUUUUUUUGAUAAGAGACAAAAUUAGGUCAACAUUGAUGAGCCAAAAAUUUGCUAAUGGGGAAAGACAUUGACAUGUCAAGUUCAACUUCUGGUUCCUGUUUGUUUAGGAACUGCCAAGUGGAGAAUGCAGUUCAACAAAUGUUUAAGGGUCUGCCCUGUGCCAGGCAUUGUUCUAGGCACAAGGUCACAAUGGUGACCUGAAUCAAGAUCUCUGCCGUCAAGGAGCUUCCUUCUUACUGGGGUGAGAGACAAUAAGGGGCCUCUUCCUAUAAGGGUCUCUCUUUCCAGGCUGACUCAAGAGCUUCACUCAUCCAUUUAGCACCCACCAUGGCCCUUGAGGCAGGCUCCCACUCUGUCACCUAGGUUGGAGUAUAGUGGCACGAUCUCAGCUCACUGCAACCUCUGCCUUGGGGGCUCAAGCGAUCCUCCCACCUCAAUCCUCUGAGUAGCUGGGACUACCGGCACGCGCCACCACAUCCAGCUAAUUUUUAUGUAUUCUUUGUAGAGACGAGGUUUUGCCAUGUUACCCAGGCUGGUCUUGAACUCCCGGACUCAAGUGAUCUGCCAGCCUCGGCAUCCCAGAGUACUGGGAUUCUAGGCGUGAGCCACCGUGCCCGGCCCACUGUGGGGUGAUUUCUGAGACUAAGGUGCAAUCCCUGCUUUCUGAGGUUCACUGUGUGGUUGGGGAAAAGAGAGAAGCAGGUUAUGUACAUGUGCACACAGACACCAUAAUCAAAUAGGAAGCCUUAAGAAAUGCCACAAGGAGCCUGGCAUGGUGGCUUACACCUGUAAUCCCAACAUUUUGGUGGCUGGGGCAGGAGGAUCACUUGAGCCCAGGAGUUUGAGACCAGCUUGGGCAACAUGGUGAAACCCUGUCUCUAUUAAAUAUAUAUAUACAAAAAUUAGCCAGGUGUAGUGGCAUAAGCCUGUAGUCCCAGCUACUUAGGAGGCUGAAGCAGGAGAUAGCUUGAACCCGGGAGGCAGAGUUCAAGGCUGCAGUGAGCCGAGAUUGAGCCACUGCACUUCAGCAGCCCCUGUGACAGAGCAAGACCCUGUGUCAAAAAAAAAAAAAAAAAAAAAAAAAGCCACAAGGAAGGGCCAUAUAAAGGGGAAAGAUUCUGGCCGGGAUGCAGGAGCUGUCUGCAAGUGACCAGGAUUCAGACCUACAGGGAUGGGAGAACACUGUGUGGGUGUGGCCAUCCUGCUAGCCCAGGAUGCAGGGACCCCCAGGUCCCUUCGGCCUGGCUGCAGCUGGCCUGCUUCAUAUGCCCCAGCGGUGUCGUGCAGCUGUUAAUCUCUCCUAUGACCCCGAAGCAGGAGAAACAGCAGGACUCAGGUGAGUUGAGGGGCCU